UAUAGAACCUACCUUUUACAGAGGAAUAGCCUUUAGAAAUGAAGAUUAAUGCCUCAUAGUAUUGUAGACUGGCAUCAGUUUAUAAUUAAAGAUUUAUCGGUAAAAGAUGGCUAUGCGUCCUAUUAGUUAGUUGGUAAGGUAACGGCUUACCAAGACAGCGAUAGGUAGGGGUCCUGAGAGGGAGAUCCCCCACACUGGUACUGAGACACGGACCAGACUCCUACGGGAGGCAGCAGUGAGGAAUAUUGGACAAUGGAGGAGACUCUGAUCCAGCCAUGCCGCGUGUAGGAAGAAUGCCCUAUGGGUUGUAAACUACUUUUAUACAGGAAGAAACACUGGUAUGUAUACCAGCUUGACGGUACUGUAAGAAUAAGGACCGG
rnacentral:rRNA from 1 species